UACGUAGGGGGCAAGCGUUUGUCCGGAAUCAUUGGGCGUAAAGAGCGUGUAGGCGGCUCGGUAAGUCCGCUGUGAAAGUCCAGGGCUCAACCCUGGAAUGCCGGUGGAAACUGUCGAGCUAGAGUCCGGAAGAGGCGAGUGGAAUUCCUGGUGUAGCGGUGAAAUGCGCAGAUAUCAGGAGGAACACCAAUGGCGAAGGCAGGUCUCUGGGCCACUACUGACGCUGAGAAGCGAAAGCAUGGGGAGCGAACAGG
rnacentral:rRNA from 1 species